UGUUUUGUAUUUUAACUUAAAAAGCUCGCUUUGCGUGUGAGAAAUGAUUUACUCCAAAACUA
rnacentral:tRNA from 1 species